rnacentral:lncRNA from 1 species
AUAAUGGCUGGCUCUCAGUGUUUAUUUUGCUGAUAUAUUUUUUCUCUUUCUGGUACCAGGGAUGGAACUCAGGACCUUGUGCUUGCUAGGCACGCAUGGCACCACUGAGCUAAAUCCCCAGCCCUAUUUUUUUUUGAGGUUUUUAAUCCAUUUUGCUGCUACUUAAACAGAAUCCUUUCUACCUCAUUAUUUUUCUUAUACACAAGAUGACUAAUAAUUUUUGCACAAAAGUUAUGUACCAGGAGUUCACAGCUAAGAGUUUGCCUUGAGCCUCAGAAGAGACUUUGGACUUGGAGUAUUCAGCACUGCUAAAACUGUUAAAAUUUUAACAAUUCUUAGAGGGAUGGACUAAAUGUAUUUUGCAUAAUGAGAUAUGAUUGUGCAGCCCUUAUAUGAAGACCUAGACCGAAAGAAAUCAGAAUGUGAGGCCUGAGAAGACUUUCCCAAGGUUGGCUAUAUGAGAGAAUCAUUCAUCUGCUAUGUUACUUCCACUGCUACCAUUUCCAAAAGUUCAGCUGCGUGGCUUUUGAUUUCUUCCACCUCAAUGCCUUCUGGAUUUGCCUUCUGGGGUGGGCGCUGCCUGUCUCAGGAGACGUCCUUGGUACCAGCAUCUUUUUCUUCAGACCUGCCAUCUGUUCCAGUGAAUAAUUCUACCAACCACGUUUUCCAUGAUUUGCCUCAUUAUGUCUCCACGUCCUUUACACA